rnacentral:rRNA from 1 species
AUUUCCGAAUGGGGAAACCCAGUGUGUUUCGACACACUAUCAUUAACUGAAUCCAUAGGUUAAUGAGGCGAACCGGGGGAACUGAAACAUCUAAGUACCCCGAGGAAAAGAAAUCAACCGAGAUUCCCCCAGUAGCGGCGAGCGAACGGGGAGGAGCCCAGAGCCUGAAUCAGUGUGUGUGUUAGUGGAAGCGUCUGGAAAGGCGCGCGAUACAGGGUGACAGCCCCGUACACAAAAAUGCACAUAUUGUGAGCUCGAUGAGUAGGGCGGGACACGUGGUAUCCUGUCUGAAUAUGGGGGGACCAUCCUCCAAGGCUAAAUACUCCUGACUGACCGAUAGUGAACCAGUACCGUGAGGGAAAGGCGAAAAGAACCCCGGCGAGGGGAGUGAAAAAGAACCUGAAACCGUGUACGUACAAGCAGUGGGAGCCUCUUAAUGGGGUGACUGCGUACCUUUUGUAUAAUGGGUCAGCGACUUAUAUUCUGUAGCAAGGUUAACCGAAUAGGGGAGCCGAAGGGAAACCGAGUCUUAACUGGGCGUUAAGUUGCAGGGUAUAGACCCGAAACCCGGUGAUCUAGCCAUGGGCAGGUUGAAGGUUGGGUAACACUAACUGGAGGACCGAACCGACUAAUGUUGAAAAAUUAGCGGAUGACUUGUGGCUGGGGGUGAAAGGCCAAUCAAACCGGGAGAUAGCUGGUUCUCCCCGAAAGCUAUUUAGGUAGCGCCUCGUGAAUUCAUCUCCGGGGGUAGAGCACUGUUUCGGCAAGGGGGUCAUCCCGACUUACCAACCCGAUGCAAACUGCGAAUACCGGAGAAUGUUAUCACGGGAGACACACGGCGGGUGCUAACGUCCGUCGUGAAGAGGGAAACAACCCAGACCGCCAGCUAAGGUCCCAAAGUCAUGGUUAAGUGGGAAACGAUGUGGGAAGGCCCAGACAGCCAGGAUGUUGGCUUAGAAGCAGCCAUCAUUUAAAGAAAGCGUAAUAGCUCACUGGUCGAGUCGGCCUGCGCGGAAGAUGUAACGGGGCUAAACCAUGCACCGAAGCUGCGGCAGCGACACUAUGUGUUGUUGGGUAGGGGAGCG